UUUCCGUAGGUGAACCUGCGGAAGGAUCAUUAAAAAUGAAGCCGGGAAGCCGGUCCUUCUAACCCUUGAUUAUCUUAAUUUGUUGCUUUGGUGGGCCGCGCAAGCACCGGCUUCGGCUGGAUCGUGCUCGCCAGAGGACACAACUCUGUAUCAAAUGUCGUCUGAGUACUAUAAAAUAGUUAAAACUUUCAACAACGGAUCUCUUGGUUCUG
rnacentral:misc_RNA from 1 species